rnacentral:rRNA from 1 species
AUUGAACGCUGGCGGCAUGCCUUACACAUGCAAGUCGAACGGCAGCGGACCUUCGGGUGCCGGCGAGUGGCGAACGGGUGAGUAAUAUAUCGGAACGUACCUUUCAGUGGGGGAUAACGUAGCGAAAGUUACGCUAAUACCGCAUAUUCUGUGAGCAGGAAAGCAGGGGGAUCGCAAGACCUUGCGCUGAUUGAGCGGCCGAUAUCAGAUUAGCUAGUUGGUGAGGUAAAGGCUCACCAAGGCGACGAUCUGUAGCGGGUCUGAGAGGAUGAUCCGCCACACUGGAACUGAGACACGGUCCAGACUCCUACGGGAGGCAGCAGUGGGGAAUUUUGGACAAUGGGCGCAAGCCUGAUCCAGCCAUGCCGCGUGAGUGAAGAAGGCC